rnacentral:rRNA from 1 species
GUUGAGGCGCGACAGCGUGGGGAGCAAACGGGAUUAGAUACCCCGGUAGUCCACGCCGUAAACGAUGGAUACUAGGUGUCGCGGGGGUCCACCCGGCGGUGCCGGAGCUAACGCACUAAGUAUCCCGCCUGGGGAGUACGGCCGCAAGGUUGAAACUCAAAGGAAUUGACGGGGGCCCGCACAAGCAGUGGAGCAUGUGGUUUAAUUCGACGCAACGCGCAGAACCUUACCAGGACUAGACGGGAUCGUGAGCGCCCCGAAAGGGGCGGGCUUCUUCGGAGGAGCAGUCGUCAGGUGCUGCAUGGUUGUCGUCAGCUCGUGUCGUGAGAUGUUGGGUUAAGUCCCGCAACGAGCGCAACCCUCGUCGUGUGUUGCCAGCGGUUCGGCCGGGCACUCACACGAGACUGCCGGUGACAAACCGGAGGAAGGUGGGGAUGACGUCAAAUCCGCAUGGCCUUUAUGUCGUGGGCCACACACGUGUUACAAUGGCGCCGACAACGGGCCGCGACCUCGCGAGGGGGAGCGAAUCCUUCA